GCAUCUUGUCUCUCUCUCUCCUCCCUCACAAAUCUCUCAUUCUCUCAGAGUUCUCUCUCUCUCCUUCGAACUCACACAGACCACCCACAAAACCACCCUAAAACUAUACCAACGAAGGAUCUAAGACCACCAUCGUGCUCCUGAGGACCACACGAACAUGAUGGUACCAAUUUCAGCUUGUAGGAAGCUUGGUGAGGUCCUAAGGAAGCUCGGAGUGCUUCGUUUGAAGGAUUUGGACGUCGGGAUAGCUUGGUUCAAAGUUGGCCGGAGCUUUCGAGGCUUUUUCGGGCGAAUCCACGCCGAGUUAGGGGUCAAGGCAGAAAUUCCGGCAAAACACCCACCUCCGGCGAAACCAGUCCGGCGACGCGAGGAAGAAGACGCGCGCGUGGGCAGCGCGUGUACAGGGCGCGUGGGGGUGCGUGAGAGCUCCAAAUUGAGUUCUGAAAAUUGUCACGCGUUCGUGACGUCGUGUAGAUCACCGUGGUGAAAAUUAUACAGAAGAAGAAUGUAACCAAUCUAGGGGAGGCUCAGGGACCUACGAGACGUCGAUGUAAUCUGUUCAAGAAUUGCAAAGGUGUGGUGACUACGAGGAAUUUCAACGGUGUUCUGACAUAAUGGAUCAAAUGAGGACUCACCUUCGGGUGCUUCAUCUUAGAAGUUGUAUAUUUUUAAAGCUUCCGAACUGUGUAAAUGGUUACGUCACUCUCAC